rnacentral:misc_RNA from 1 species
AGUUUCGACCCGUCUCCUGUCUCCUCCCAAUACGUACUGACACACGCACCCUCACACACCUACUUGCUCCUCUUGGACGCUUCGCUUUCUCCUCUAAUACGGCUGGGCAUUUGAGCUACUGCCUUUUUUUUCUCUGUAGUGAAGAGGCAGCCGGCGUGCGUGUGUGUGUGUCUGCCUGCGGGUGUCGCCACGUGCAGCGUCUACACGCGUGUGAGAUGCAGCCCCCCUCGCUUCUUGCGCAGCACCACCACAUCGCCGCAUAUUUAUUUCUCUUUGUGCAGGUGCGAGACUCACCCUCGCGUGCGCCGACGCACUUGCAACCGCCCAUCCACACACACGCAAACAGGCGCACAGGUCGGUUGUGCGGUGCAUCCGCCCCCCCUCCCCCCGUUGAUCGGGGCCUCUACUUACGGAGCGAGACAUAACGGAGAGGGCCGCUUAACGUGCGCUUUUGUGUCUUCUACCCCUCUCUGCGUGCAUGUGUUUCUGAGCGUGUGCCCACACCACGCCCUCCCUUCCAUUUCCCUCCUCCCCCUUCCCGUCAUCCGUCCAUAUUUCUUCAUCUCCUUUAUUGCAUAUUGUGUGUGUGUGGCUUCUCUCUUUUCUGUUUUCUCUCUCUGUUCCCCCACCGCCAUACUCAUCUGCUCUUGUUCCUCGUCUCCCUCCCUCGCUGCUCUCGCUUCCCCCCGUAUUUUGUGUCUCGCGCUUCUUCGCUUGGGCUGCAUCUACAUGCACACAUAGACAUAUCUAUAUGCACACCUCUCUAUACGUAUACGUAUAUCUAUAUAUAUAUAUAUAUAUAUGUAUGCAUGCAUGCGCCUGCAUGUAUGACUUCGUUUUCUUUUCGCUGCUCGCAUGUGCUGUGUGUGUGUGUGUGUGCUCUUCGCUGCCCCUCCUUCCCUCUCCGCGUCUCUUUCUUUGUUUAGGCUCGAUACGCUUACGUUUGACGCCUCUGCUGAUCUCUCUACGUCCCCGCAUCAUCCUCACUCUCGCCCUCACGCGUCAACUGCGUUGCGCGGGGGCGUCUAUCUGCACGUGUGCCAGACCCCUCCCUCACCCACACACGGACGCCGAGGCAGCGGGAGAGCGGAAAGUGAAGCGCCCCCGCCGCGUGCCCACCCCUUAACGGCUUGACUGCAGAGGAAGGAGAGCACACCGGCACACGCACACAAGUACACAUCAGCGCCGCUCUCUUCCCCCCCGAUUUUGUUCCUUUUCGUUUCUGUCGGUCAUCUGCGUCUCCGCUUUUUUUGGUCGGCAUGCGAGACGCGGCAGCAACGGAACGCGAGCGGCUGCCGACUCCGGCGGACGGCGACGUGGACAGUCUGUACGAGGAUGGCACUGAGGCGGAGACGGCGAAGCAGAGGAGCACCGUCAGCACCACAACGUUGUUUCUGGCCCUUCCGUGGCUCGGCUGCACACUGUUCCUGGUCGCCGUUCUCCUCUACGUGAACGUCCACACCUUCUCCAUAUGGAGCAGAUUGGUGUCGAUGCCGGGCGGCGUCGUUGCAGACGUCUCUGUGCAACACCGCGACAUGGCCCGCUACACUGUCCUGUUCGUGAGCCUUGCCCUCCUGGCAGUGCACUUGGCCAUCUCGUUCUGUCUCUUCCGCCGCGCCUAUCACGUCUUGUGGGACGUGCAGAUGUCCCUCGUGGAGCUGUCCUUCAUGGUGGACGUGAUCCGGACGCACCAGCACAGUACCUUUUUCUUUGUGGACUGUGUGGAGCGUGCGCAGCGCGUACGGGAAUCGAUGCGGUACUGGGUGAAGGAGUUUUCUGGUUUCAAGGAGAUUGGCGCUGCGGAGAUGGCCGUGAACCAAGUGACACUGCGGCUGAUGACCCGCCCCAGGGAGAGCGCACAGCGACUGGAGUCGCCCGGCGACACGCAGUUGCCGUGCACCGGCUCGGGGACGUCCUCGCCGGUGCAGCUGGCUCGCGGUGGCCGUUUGCCGCCCGACACCACCGCGGCAGCCUUCCGGCUUCCUCAGGAUGCGGCAUGGUCGCCACAUGUGCAAUCGGUGCGCACGGACAGCGCCCAUGCCGAUCCUGGCCCUAGCCGGCAGCUGGCCGGCCACCACAGCGGCUCUCGCCGCUCCCUGUCGUUUACCACGGAGAUCGGCAUCGCGCAGGUGCCUUUCGAGGUAACGCUCAAGCGGCGCCACGUGGCGCUUCUUCUCCUCAGCUUUCUCACCUAUCGGGAGCUCGUGCGUGCGGAGGCGGAUGAGGCACGGCAGAUCUCCCGCGACUUCAUCGCCGCCGUCAACAUGUGCGCUCAGAGGUACAAGGGGUGCAUCGUCGAGCUGUACAGUGACCGCGCCAUCCUGUCAUGGAACGCCUUCUUCGAGUCUGCCGGCAACUACGCCCAGACAUGCGCACAGUGCGGGGAGUGCUUCCAUGAUAGGUUUGUGCGCAGAUUCUCCCCCGAGAGCGGCGCGUACUUCAGCACUGCCGGCUACACGGGUCACAUUGUGUGCGGCACCACGACGGAGAAGUCGCUCCUGCUUCAUGGUCAGCACGUCUCGAUGCUGCGCGGGCUCCCGACGCUGCUCGAGAUGCGGUACUGCGCAUAUGUGUGGCUCGGCACCCCACCACCGGCGUGCACGAGUUCGCCGUUGUCGUGGACGCGGAUUGGUGCCGUGCGGGCCGGAGCCGACUUCUCUGUUGAUCUACAUGCCAUGCGGCGCACAUCGGCGGAGCCGCUGCCGGCCGCCAUGGUGUGGCACAUGCCCCAGUGGACGACAUUCGGUGACGAGCGCGCCGUUCGCGCAGAGGUGCUGACAAAUGACGGCGCCGCGCGGCUGAAGCAGGACGGGGACACCGCGCCAGUGACGCCCGCGAGCACCGCUGCUGCCACUGCUGCCACCGGCGUCGCUACUGCCUUCCCCAGCUCUCCAUUCCUUUCGUCCCCGCUGUGCCUCCGCGGUGUUGGCACGCCGUACGAGACGUUCUACGAUCGAAGCCACAAUCGCUACCAGCUGUCCAACACAGUGCUUGGGGAGUCCAAGUCGUGCGUCGUGCGCCUCGCCAUCUCGGAGACCGGCAACUUUGUGGCCGUGAAAGAGAUCAAGAUAGAACGCGGAGACGUCAAGCCCAUUCGCCGGCGCCGCUAUCAGCGCGAGAAUCGGAUUAUCGUGACACGAGGCGAGAAGCCGCAGUGGAUGAAUGAGGUGGAGAUUAUGGAGCGGCAUCGGCACACGUGUAUCGUUGCCUACAUCUCCUUCGUGGAGGCGGAGGACAAGCUGCGUAUUGUCAUGGAGUACGUCGGCGGCGGCAACUUGCUGAAAUUUGCCUCCUCGUCGCGCGGCGCGGAAGGGGAGGGGCCGCCAAUGGCGGUGCUGCUGCGCAACGUUGUAGAGGGGCUUAAGUUCCUGCAUCAGAAGGGCAUCGUGCACGGUGACAUCAAGCCGCAGAAUGUGCUGGUGCCAGACUCCGGGCCGUGCAAGAUCGCCGACUUUGGCAUCUCUCGCAGGGCCACCACUGCCGUCACCAGCGCGAUUGAAGGAACGCCGUUCUACAUGUCUCCCGAGGCGACGCGCGGGGAGGUCACAGCGGCGUGCGAUAUUUGGAGCUUUGGCAUCAUGAUGGCGCAGGUGCUCACGGGCCGCUUGCCGUACGACGCAUCCGUGCGCGACUACUACUUGGUAAGCCAGUUCAUGUGCAACAAGGACGUGAAGCGAGAGUUGCACACGCCGCUGAAGAAACCCGCCCUCGACGUCUUCCUCGCGUGCACAGAGUACGACCCAGGGAAGCGCAAAACGGCCAAGGACCUACUGAAGAUGCCGUACUUCACCGCCCACGCUGCGAGCAGCACCGAAGAUGCGUAGGGCGAGGAGGAAAUCGGGCAACGUACCUGCCCCUGCCCCCGAUCCGUGUACUCUUCGCCAUUCUAUAUGUCUGUGCGUUUGUGUGUGUGGCGUGGGUGGGAGCGUGUGUGCGAGGGGAUACCCCUCUCCGCUGUGUCUCUUCUUGCGCCUUCCGUCCCCUCGCACGCAAGCUGGACAUCGGCGUUAGAAGAAGAGGUGCUGGGAUGGGCGGAAAGGUGCCGUGAUGCUGUCGUCACCAUCGGAGGGAGAGGGAGGGGGAUCGUAGCAGCUGCUGAACGCGACGCCGCACCGCCUCUCUCCUCCCUCCCUUCCUUGGAUGCAGCUUGUCCCGGGUGCAGCGACACCACUGUGAUGGCGAAUUCGCGCCGGCUGCCGGGGCUUCGGGUGCGCCUAUCCCCACGCCGACAGCGCUGCAUCUGACACUGCUGUCCACAACCGACGACUGUAGCGCCUGUGCGCCAUGGUGCGUCUUUGCUACACUCUCCGCGGAGCACACUCGAGCGCGCUUGUAUGUGUGCGUGUGCCGCUCAUUCCUCCCCACGGGCGCUCCAUCAAACACCCCUCCCCGCCUCCCCUCCCUCCCCCUCUCCGUGGCGGCAAG